ACAGACGAUGAUGUGAACACUUUUGCAAUAAGGCAGCGUAAGCGCCCAAGGAGGUUUGUCUCCGAAUCCUCUGAUGAUGAUGAUUCUGCUCCAGUGGUAGCAGCAACCAAGAAGCAACCCAAGACUCUGACUGUGCCUGGAAGCCCUGUGUGUCGGCAGGACCCAAUGCCCCUACCACCACAAUG